rnacentral:lncRNA from 1 species
GGAGGGAUCGCAAGGGGGGCCGUCGGGGACCUCUCCUUUUUACCAAUCCCCACCAACGUAUGGCUUUCAAACACCAUCGCCGUUCAUGAUGCAAACACCUCCACAUACACUAUUAUUUGAAGGUGGAUCAUCGUCCCAAGUCCGAGAACCAGAUGCAGAACCGGGAGAACCAGAAUCACCACCGGAGGAAGAACAACCGCC